rnacentral:lncRNA from 1 species
AUCCCUUCUAUAGUAAUUUAAUAGCACAAUUAAAUACUACUAUUAUACCCUCAAAUAUUGAAAGAAAAAUAAGACAAGAAAGAACACAAGAGUUUUAACGAGGUUUGGUAAAUUAUACCUACGUCCUCGGGCACUAACACCAGAUGAUAACUUUACUAUCUUCAAAAUAUUACAAACAAAUAGAAUUCCUUAAGAAUUCUCAAAUGGGAGAAGAGAGAAAACUAAGAGAGAAAGAUU